rnacentral:rRNA from 1 species
GCCUAACACAUGCAAGUCGAACGAACCCUCGGGUUAGUGGCGGACGGGUGAGUAACGUGUGAGAAUCUGCCCUCAGGAGGGGGACAACAGCUGGAAACGGCUGCUAAUACCCCAUAUGCCGCGAGGUGAAAUGAAUUUCGCCUGAGGAUGAGCUCGCGUCUGAUUAGCUAGUUGGUGUAGGUAAUGGCUCACCAAGGCAUCGAUCAGUAGCUGGUCUGAGAGGAUGAUCAGCCACACUGGGACUGAGACACGGCCCAGACUCCUACGGGAGGCAGCAGUGGGGAAUUUUCCGCAAUGGGCGAAAGCCUGACGGAGCAACGCCGCGUGAGGGAUGAAGGCCUCUGGGCUGUAAACCUCUUUUAUCAAGGAAGAAGAUCUGACGGUACUUGAUGAAUAAGCCACGGCUAAUUCCGUGCCAGCCGCCGCG